rnacentral:misc_RNA from 1 species
CAACCCUCGAACCCCUCCGGGGGGUCGGCGUUGGGGAUCGGCUCCCUCUAAACCGGGUGCCGUCUCCGAAAUACAGUGGCGGUCUCGCCGCAGCCUCUCCUGCGCAGUAGUUUGCACACUCGCAUCGGGAGCGCGGCGCGUCCACGGCCGUAAAACAACCCAAACUUCUGAAAUG